ACGGUCGCUGUGGUCACGUGGGUACUGCACUACUGCUCCAUCUAUGGCUCAGUGUAGCUUUGUCUUCCACCGCCGCCCCCUCCCCUGCUGCAAGCCCGUGAACACAUCUGACUCUCUCUCCUCUUGCUCUUUGACUUAUAGCUAGAUGGAUGGGCCGCAGGGCGGCGAUUCGAUGGCGCCGGCGCUCGGCUGCAACAUCAAUCCGGCGGCCGGCCAUAGGCUUCUGAAUCCCCUUUUCGUGUGGAUUUUGUGCCGGACCACAGAUUCAACAUCGCCAUCGGCAAUCCAAUCUUAUCUGGUGUGUGUACUACUCCAUCUUGUACUGGAAGAAUCAGGAGCACACCAGCGCCCGAGCAGUAAUGGUGGGAAGCUGUGCGUCUGCUCGUUCAUAUCUCCCAAGAACUUAUCCUCCUCUACCGACGGCGGCUGGGCGGAUUCCGAUAUGGGACUCACGCCGGAGUCGCGAGUAGCUGCUUUAGCUGAAUUCCCCUCCCCCGCCGCCCAGCAUGCUAGAUACAAGGGGGGACGCAGAUGAAACACAGAGUCACGGGCCGCCGCCUGUAGUGUCCGAUAGCGUCUGUCCUUAUCUCGGUGUACAGUGCCCUACGCUAUGUAGUAGGUGGAUCACGUCCCGGGUCACAACUAACACGCACCAUAUAACCGUGGCCUGUGAAUCUUACGGAAACGGCUGGCCCAGAUCCCCGUGUAUAUGGACGUACCAGAUAAGCGGGCCGGGGCGCAGGAGUGUUAAAAUAUGUUUUCGCCACAGCCGCCGCCAUCAUCCCACGAUGCCGCCGCCGCCAUCACCCCACGAUGCCGCCGCCGCCGCUAUCCCGCGAUGCCGCCGCCGAUUCCUUCCUGAAGCUCAGUGUGGUGCGCGGUAGCACGUCGCGUUCCCGCCGCCCCUGCCGUUGGUCGUCGCCCGUGCUGGAGGCCAUGGUCGCAGGCCCCAAGUAUACCUCAUCACGCUAUAGAUUUUCUUCCUAAUCCUUUUCCGUCUCAUAUAUCAAUGGCAUCUUAAACUUCAGAUUUCCAUUAACUCAGCAAUUGAUCUGAAAAAGGUUCAUGGACUCAUGGUCCAGUCCAGAAUCUCCCCAAUCCCUUGCUUUUUGGGUCUUUAGUAACCUCACACAAAUUUCGGGUUCUGGCUGCCUAUGCAGCAUGCCAACAUAAAUAUUUUUAGGCCAAUUACUGAAUCAAUCUCGCAAUGGUUGAUGCAUCAGCGGAGGAGGAGGCCGUCGUAUUUUGUGAGGUUGCCAAGUGAAGGGACUGCAGCGGACUGCUGGUGCCAGGAUCCCUUCUCUAUUCUCCAUUCUUUCAAUUCAUUGCAGAACACAUAUGUGACAGGAUAAAAAAUCAGAUGUGAUUUUGCAACACCGACUCAGCCAUAUGUAGUAGAUGAAAGAGGGCUCUCCACAGGUCGAUCUCACCUGCAGCAGGAAGAGACGAAACAGGGGAGUGGUGCCAGACUACUAUGCGUUGGUGAGUUCCAGCCGUGUCAAUGGCUGCACAAGAUAAGAUGCAAGCCAUGCCAUGCAUGAUAUCUCUCCUCCUAACUUCUUAAUAUAUCUCCUAACUGUUUCUUUUAACUCUAUAUUACCACCUAACUGCUUGAUUUUGUAUAUUUUUUCAUUGGCGGAUCCAUGUUCAGUGGCCUUACCUUUUCAAAUGUUUGCAUUGACAUAAAAUUCCUAGAGUGCGUAAGAUGUGGCCGUGCACUGUUAAAGUAGGAAGGAUGCAUGGAAUGCCAUCUCGGACUGGGGUCUUCUGGCAUGGAGUCCUUACCUACUUCGUUGUAUCUCCAUUCUACGAAAGGUAAUGAGAGUGGGACUUAUGGUAUUGGAGCUUAAAAAAUAGUUACUCAAUCAUCAAACUGUAUGUGCUUUUUGUUCUUCUCUUGAUUAUGUAUAGAUCGAAAUUCUUGAUGUCCCAGUUUAAUCCUAUAUGUACAGUAUUGGGAUUGGAUUUGUAUAUCAUUAGCAGAAAAAUAUAUGAUCCUACUUUGUUCCAAAGAAAGCUUCUUCGAUUUAUUAAGCCGUACUUAUCAGAAUGAUAACUGAUAAGUAGAGUACUUAUUUUUUUUCUAUCUAGCUAUUAACACUUGAGGGGUCUGGAGCAUUAUUCUAUCAUCAACGUGCAGAAGAGAGUCUGUCAUUGAUGCUCUGAGGGCAUGUAGGUUUCUGAUAUAUAUCAAAUAGACUCAUUAUAUA